GAUGAGCGCUGGCGGCGUGCCUAAUACAUGCAAGUCGAGCGAACGGACGAGAAGCUUGCUUCUCUGAUGUUAGCGGCGGACGGGUGAGUAACACGUGGAUAACCUACCUAUAAGACUGGGAUAACUUCGGGAAACCGGAGCUAAUACCGGAUAAUAUUUUGAACCGCAUGGUUCAAAAGUGAAAGACGGUCUUGCUGUCACUUAUAGAUGGAUCCGCGCUGCAUUAGCUAGUUGGUAAGGUAACGGCUUACCAAGGCAACGAUGCAUAGCCGACCUGAGAGGGUGAUCGGCCACACUGGAACUGAGACACGGUCCAGACUCCUACGGGAGGCAGCAGUAGGGAAUCUUCCGCAAUGGGCGAAAGCCUGACGGAGCAACGCCGCGUGAGUGAUGAAGGGCUUCGGAUCGUAAAACUCUGUUAUUAGGGAAGAACAUAUGUGUAAGUAACUGUGCACAUCUUGACGGUACCUAAUCAGAAAGCCACGGCUAACUACGUG
rnacentral:rRNA from 1 species